rnacentral:rRNA from 1 species
UGCGCAGGCGGACUAUUAAGUCAGUGGUGAAAUCUCUCGGCUCAACCGAGAAACUGCCAUUGAAACUGAUAGCCUUGAGUGUAGUUGUAGUAGGCGGAAUAUAGCAUGUAGCGGUGAAAUGCUUAGAUAUGCUAUAGAACACCGAUCGCGAAGGCAGCUUACUAAACUAUCACUGACGCUCAUGCACGAAAGCGUGGGGAGCAAACAGGAUUAGAUACCCUGGUAGUCC